UCUACAUGAAGUGUACCCCGAUCUGUAUUUGUUGUUCAGUUUAAUUUCUGAAGAACACAAUUUACAUAAAUGUGUCUAUGUUUUGUUUUGAAGGAUGACUCUUUUCUUCUCUUUCUCUACCUCUGUCUGUGUGUGACAAUGUUCUUUUCAGACAAUGAAGUGGACGGGGAAACAGUAGAGUAUGGCCUGACGGAUAAUAUGGUAUCAUGCCUUUUUCCUGGAUCAUUCAAAAAACAAGUCAAGUUCAACAAAUUUAUACAGGAGUUAAAGGAUGUUGUAACACUGACUGUAGAACCAGUGCCUGAAGAAUGCAUUGAGCAGCCUUCGACUAUAGAAAGGUAAAGUUUGAUAUGUUGAGCAUUAAAAGCAUUAUAUAUCUAUUAUCUAAUAGGUAUUGUAGCUCUAUGAAUAUGACAUUCGAUAUAUUGUUUCCUUUGUUUGUGAAUUGUUUGAUACUUGUGGGUUGAUCUGUGUAUUGCUGGUAAUUCAAGUUCUUCAUCCCUUCUCUUCCCCAUCUCAGCAGUGAGACAAAUCGGAGACUGCCUGCUGGUUUCAUCAUUCCACCUUUCCCCAGAGAUCUUCAGACCAGACUCGACAACAAAGAAGCAUGUUUGAAGUUAUCUAGAGAUCGACAUAGGAUCAUUCGAGUUCCCAUGAAGCAAUCAUCGAAUACACAAUGUAUCCCACCAACGCAGAAUAUGUGCAAGUUGUUAAAACACAAGUACCCUGUCCUUAAGGAUCUGGAGGGAAACGGCUAUCAUACCUGGCAUCAGUCCCUCAAACGCAAAUUCAAAGCAGAGCGUGCACCUUUGGUUCAUGAAGACGAGGUGAGAAGGAGUAAGGAGAAGUUUGGGCACAAGAGAGCCAGACAGUCUACGGAGGCUGCAAGAACCUAUUGCAGAUCUGUGCCAGGGGUGAGUGGAUUAAUGCAGCUGCUUACAGUUCUUAGAAAAGUUAGUGUACAAUAA
rnacentral:lncRNA from 1 species